CUGUAACACUAACCAUUUUCCCAGAGCUAAGGAAUGCAUAGCAUAGUAUAAACAAGUGAUAAGCAGAAAGGGGAUUGGACAGACUGUCUAAUGCUAAUGGAAUAGAUUAAUUCUAAACCCAGACAAUUGUGACAGAGAAGAUUAAAUAAUAAAAUUUAACUGUCUAUACAUAUAAGGUCCCAUUGUAAGUUACGGGUCAAAACUCAGAUUGCCAGACACAGUCUGGACAAAACUUAAAGAACCCUUUGAUCUGUGAAGGAUACGUAAGUUAUGGCCACUAUCUAGAUAGGCCAAAAUGACGUCAAAAUAGC